rnacentral:rRNA from 1 species
AUACGGAGGAUGCGAGCGUUAUCCGGAUUUAUUGGGUUUAAAGGGUGCGUAGGCUGUGCGUUAAGUCAGGGGUGAAAUGCCGUCGCUCAACGACGGAGAUGCCCUUGAUACUGGCGUGCUGGAGGACGGAUGCCGUUGGAGGAAUGAGUGGCGUAGCGGUGAAAUGCUUAGAUAUCACUCAGAACACCGAUUGCGAAGGCAUCUGACGAAUCCGUCACUGACGCUGAGGCACGAAAGCGUGGGGAUAGAACAGGAUUAGAUACCCUGGUAUUCCACGCCGUAAACGAUGAUGACUAACCGUCGGCGAUAGACAGCCGGUGGCCAAGCGAAAGCGAUAAGUCAUCCACCUGGGGAGUACGUCGGCAACGAUGAAACUCAAAGGAAUUGACGGG